GGGAGCAUGAUUCAGUUGGGAGAGCAGCAGGGUGAGGUUCUACAGGUCCUGCGUUCGAUCCGCAGUGUUCCCA